rnacentral:antisense_RNA from 1 species
CCAGACACCCAUUUUCCUUCCCACUGUUCCUUCCCCAUGGAGAAGCCUGUGGCUGGCUGACAGCAGAGAGAGAUGCUCAACUUGGAGAAGGUGUUACCUGGGCCAGGUGGGGAAGGUUUGUUUGCAGAGCAAAGAAGUGAAGGAAGUAUUAACCCUUUGCAUGGCCUCCUGAGAAUCCGACAAGACGUAAAUAGCCAAGAAUAUCUGUGGAACUUAAUCACUGAGUUACAGUAUUUAUCACUGCAAGUGUGUUGUUCAUUGACACUAUAAAGCCAUGUGGAAUUAAGCAGCCUUGAAACACAAAAUGGAGAAAGGCUGAGAGCUGAGAAUUGUUGCCUUCAGGAAAAUACAAUCAAUGUCAAGCAAACAACCACCCCAAAAUGGAAUGUCAGCCAUUAACCUCACAGUAGGUGAUGAAAAGAUAUUACUUUUUCUCCCCUAUACUACCCAAGCCAGCCACCUCAAGAAAGAACAGUUCAUGUGCAGCCUAUUCAACGUGAAAAAGAUGAGGAUGAAGACCUUUAUUAUGAUCCACUUCCAAGUAAUGAACACACUGGAGAAAGUCAGACAGUCAAAACAAUGUCCCAGACUCCGUGAAGUUCCUGGGUAGAGAAGGAGACAGACAUAUACCAUACCUAAUAAUUGGAUGUCCGAGAGAAUGAGAGAAUGGCAGAAAGAACUUUAGAGCAUGGGUAUGAUGGCUAGAGCUUGAGCAGCCAUUGUGGACAUCAGAUGAACUUGAAAGUGAAAACUAUGAGCUGAAUACGACAAAGCAAACAGAUAGAAAACUGGAUUCAUUAUGACAUUGCAAAGCUGCCAGACCAGCUCUAGUCUGCUUCCCCCUAAUCUUCCUUACUA